rnacentral:lncRNA from 1 species
CUUCUGCCUCUUGUGAUUUAACUGCUUGAUCUUCCCAUCAAAACAACUCUAGCACUACCAAAUUUGACAGCGCUGUGUGCUGAGUGAGGAUUUGGGGUUUAGAAGAAAUCCCUAGAAGGGGCUGGGAUGCUGAGACAAAUGUGUUUUCCCACAACACAUUUUUCUUUACUUGGAAAAGGUAAAACACCUGAAGGAAAUAAAACUCAAGAUUUUGAAGACAUCUUGUCUAGGACUUACCUGAUUUUAUUGUUCAUCCUGCAUUUUUUUGUUUACUUUUUUUCAGAGCCUCCAUUGAUUUUAACAAAAUUAAGUUUAUGACAUAUAAACAUAUCUACCUAUAGGCUGCAGCCGUGUUCCAGCUUUAUGUGAUUGAGGCACCUGAAGAAGGCUCAAGAGGAGUGGCAGAGGUGCCUGGAGUAUUGAAUCUUGCAGUUCAGUGAACAUGUGUUAGAAACAGUAGUGGAGGAGGAUUGAAUUGACUCAUACAUAGAUCAGGGUCACAGUCUGGUGCUCACCAAAGGAGAUGAGCUUCCUCAUCUGCGUUUUGAGUGCAAGCACAUGCUGAAAGUGGGAGGAGGGUUUUGCUGAGAUGACAGAAGCAUAUGUGCAGAUAAUGUCUAUUCUUGCAUCUAGCUCUCUUCUGCAAAAUACCAGUGAUCAAGAAGAUGCUGGAGCUUGCAUUGUAGAUUGUUACAUUUAUGGAAUUGAGAACAAGGAUAAAAAUGUAAGUAAAAUGAUAAAAAAAGUCAAGAAGGGGAGAGAGCAAAGACCUGCUUGCGAGCCUUUACCUUGAAGACAUGGCCAUGCAUGCCAGAGGGGUGAAAGGAAUCCCUUUGAGAAGGCAGGAUGGCAAGAAGCCCUCUUCAACCUCUGGAUGUUCAGCACACAAAUCCCUGAGAAGGCCAGGAUUUCUUGAGAAUAUUUUCUUCCAUUAAUUUUUACAGCAAAUAAAGUAGUUGAAGAACGUGGAAAUACUUGGUAG